rnacentral:rRNA from 1 species
UAGGGAAUCUUCCACAAUGGACGCAAGUCUGAUGGAGCAACGCCGCGUGAGUGAAGAAGGUUUUCGGACCGUAAAGCUCUGUUGUUGGUGAAGAAGGAUAGAGGUAGUAACUGGCCUUUAUUUGACGGUAAUCAACCAGAAAGUCACGGCUAACUACGUGCCAGCAGCCGCGGUAAUACGUAGGUGGCAAGCGUUGUCCGGAUUUAUUGGGCGUAAAGCGAGCGCAGGCGGAAGAAUAAGUCUGAUGUGAAAGCCCUCGGCUUAACCGAGGAAUUGCAUCGGAAACUGUUUUCUUGAGUGCAGAAGAGGAGAGUAGAACUCCAUGUGUAGCGGUGAAAUGCGUAGAUAUAUGGAAGAAUACCAGUGGCGAAGGCGGCUCUCUGGUCUGCAACUGACGCUGAGGCUCGAAAGCAUGGGUAGCGAACAGGAUUAGAUACCCUGGUAGUCCAUGCCGUAAACGAUGAGUGCUAAGUGUUGGGAGGCUUCCGCCUCUCAGUGCUGCAGCUAACGCAUUAAGCACUCCGCCUGGGGGAGUACGACCGCAAGGUUGAAAC